rnacentral:rRNA from 1 species
AACGAACGCUGGCGGCAGGCCUAACACAUGCAAGUCGAACGAGAGCUUCGGGUCUGGUUGCGCACGGGGGCGUAACGCGGGGGAACCGGGACGUAGGUUCGGGAUAACUCCCCUAAAUGGGUGCUAAUACAGGGUAACUUCUGCUGACCAAAGAUUUGUCCUCCUUGGUUGAGCCGGAGUUGGAUUAGCCUGGUGGUAGUGUAAAAGCCGACCAAGGCGACGAUCCAUAGCUGGGCUGAGAGGAUGAUCCGCCACACUGGGACUGGGACACGGCCCAGACUCUUACGGGAGGCAGCAGUGGGGAAUCUUGCCCAAUGGGCGAAAGCCUGAUCCCGCAAUGCCGCGUGAGUGCUGAAGGCCUUAGGGUUGUAAAGCUCUUUUACCCCGGAUGAUAAUGACGGUACCGGGAGAAUAAGCACCGGCUAACUCCGUG